rnacentral:ncRNA from 1 species
UAUCUUCAGGGCAGGGCGAAAUUCCCGACCGGCGGUAAAGUCCGCGAGCGCAAGCUGAACCGGUUUGAUUCCGGUACCGACAGUACAGUCUGGAUGAAAGAAGAU